rnacentral:rRNA from 1 species
UACGAAGGGGGCUAGCGUUGUUCGGAAUUACUGGGCGUAAAGCGCACGUAGGCGGAUUUGCCAGUCAGGGGUGAAAUCCCGGGGCUCAACCUCGGAACUGCCUCUGAUACAGCAAGUCUUGAGUCCGGAAGAGGUGGGUGGAAUUCCUAGUGUAGAGGUGAAAUUCGUAGAUAUUAGGAAGAACACCAGUGGCGAAGGCGGCCCACUGGUCCGGUACUGACGCUGAGGUGCGAAGGCGUGGGGAGCGAACGGG